rnacentral:rRNA from 1 species
GACGAACGCUGGCGGCGUGCUUAACACAUGCAAGUCGAACGGUAAGGCCCUUCGGGGUACACGAGUGGCGAACGGGUGAGUAACACGUGGGUGAUCUGCCCUGCACUUCGGGAUAAGCCUGGGAAACUGGGUCUAAUACCGGAUAGGACUCCGGACUGCAUGGUCUGGGGUGGAAAGCUUCUGCGGUGUGGGAUGGGCCCGGGGCCUAUCAGCUUGUUGGUGGGGUGAUGGCCUACCAAGGCGACGACGGGUAGCCGGCCUGAGAGGGUGACCGGCCACACUGGGACUGAGAUACGGCCCAGACUCCUACGGGAGGCAGCAGUGGGGAAUAUUGCACAAUGGGCGCAAGCCUGAUGCAGCGACGCCGCGUGAGGGAUGACGGCCUUCGGGUUGUAAACCUCUUACAGCAUCGACGAAGCGAAAGUGACGGUAGGUGCAGAAGAAGGACCGGCCAACUACGUGCCAGCCGCCGCCGUAA